AUUUUUUUGUAUUUGCGGUUUAUUUUUAUCAUUUUUUAUAGUUUUUUCUUUGUUCAAAAUAUUUGUCACAACAACAGG
rnacentral:ribozyme from 17 species